GACGAACGCUGGCGGCGUGCUUAACACAUGCAAGUCGAACGGAAAGGCCCUGCUUUUGUGGGGUGCUCGAGUGGCGAACGGGUGAGUAACACGUGAGUAACCUGCCCUUGACUUUGGGAUAACUUCAGGAAACUGGGGCUAAUACCGGAUAGGAGCUCCUGCUGCAUGGUGGGGGUUGGAAAGUUUCGGCGGUUGGGGAUGGACUCGCGGCUUAUCAGCUUGUUGGUGGGGUAGUGGCUUACCAAGGCUUUGACGGGUAGCCGGCCUGAGAGGGUGACCGGCCACAUUGGGACUGAGAUACGGCCCAGACUCCUACGGGAGGCAGCAGGGGGUAAUAUUGCACAAUGGGCGGAAGCCUGAUGCAGCAACGCCGCGUGCGGGAUGACGGCCUUCGGGUUGUAAACCGCUUUCGCCUGUGACGAAGCGUGAGUGACGGUAAUGGGUAAAGAAGCACCGGCUAACUACGUG
rnacentral:rRNA from 1 species